rnacentral:rRNA from 1 species
UACGGAAGGCAGCAGUGGGGAAUAUUGCACAAUGGGCGCAAGCCUGAUGCAGCCAUGCCGCGUGUAUGAAAAAGGCCUUCGGGUUGUAAAGUACUUUCAGUCGUGAGGAAGGUGUUAAGGUUAAUAACCUUAGCAAUUGACGUUAGCGACAGAAGAAGCACCGGCUAACUCCGUGCCAGCAGCCGCGGUAAUACGGAGGGUGCGAGCGUUAAUCGGAAUUACUGGGCGUAAAGGGCACGCAGGCGGUUAAUUAAGUUGGAUGUGAAAUCCCCGGGCUUAACCUGGGAAUGGCAUUCAAGACUGGUUAGCUAGAGUCUUGUAGAGGGGGUUAGAAUUCCAUGUGUAGCGGUGAAAUGCGUAGAGAUGUGGAGGAAUACCGGUGGCGAAGGCGGCCCCUGGACAAAGACUGACGCUCAUGUGCGAAAGCGUGGGGAGCAAACGAGGGAUUAGACUACCCG